rnacentral:rRNA from 1 species
UACGUAGGGGGCAAGCGUUGUCCGGAAUUAUUGGGCGUAAAGAGCGUGUAGGCGGCCAGGUAGGUCUGCUGUGAAAACUCGAGGCUCAACCUCGAGACGUCGGCGGAAACCAUCUGGCUAGAGUCCGGAAGAGGAGAGUGGAAUUCCUGGUGUAGCGGUGAAAUGCGCAGAUAUCAGGAAGAACACCCGUGGCGAAGGCGGUUCUCUGGGCAUUACCUGACGCUGAGGAGCGAAAGCGUGGGGAGCAAACAGG